CCGUAACGAGCGCAACCCUUGUCCUUAGUUACCAGCACGUGAUGGUGGGCACUCUAAGGAGACUGCCGGUGACAAACCGGAGGAAGGUGGGGAUGACGUCAAGUCAUCAUGGCCCUUACGGCCUGGGCUACACACGUGCUACAAUGGUCGGUACAGAGGGUUGCCAAGCCGCGAGGUGGAGCUAAUCCCACAAAACCGAUCGUAGUCCGGAUCGCAGUCUGCAACUCGACUGCGUGAAGUCGGAAUCGCUAGUAAUCGCGAAUCAGAAUGUCGCGGUGAAUACGUUCCCGGGCCUUGUACACACCGCCCGUCACACCAUGGGAGUGGGUUGCACCAGAAGUAGCUAGUCUAACCUUCGGGAGGACGGUUACCACGGUGUGAUUCAUGACUGGGGUGAAGUCGUAACAGGGUAACC
rnacentral:rRNA from 1 species